GCGAGUGAAGCGGCAAAAGCUCAAAUUUGAAAUCUGGCGUCUUUGGCGUCCGAGUUGUAAUUUGAAGAAGGUAUCUUUGGGCCCGGCUCUUGUCUAUGUUCCUUGGAACAGGACGUCACAGAGGGUGAGAAUCCCGUGCGAUGAGAUGACCCGGGUCUGUGUAAAGUUCCUUCGACGAGUCGAGUUGUUUGGGAAUGCAGCUCUAAGUGGGUGGUAAAUUCCAUCUAAAGCUAAAUAUUGGCGAGAGACCGAUAGCGAACAAGUACAGUGAUGGAAAGAUGAAAAGAACUUUGAAAAGAGAGUGAAAAAGUACGUGAAAUUGUUGAAAGGGAAGGGCUUGAGAUCAGACUUGGUAUUUUGCAUGUUGCUCUCUCGGGGGCGGCCGCUGCGGUUUACCGGGCCAGCAUCGGUUUGGAGCGGCAGGAUAAUGGCGGAGGAAUGUGGCACGGCUUCUGCUGUGUGUUAUAGCCUCUGACGAUACUGCCAGCCUAGACCGAGGACUGCGGUUUUUACCUAGGAUGUUGGCAUAAUGAUCUUAAGUCGCCC
rnacentral:rRNA from 1 species